rnacentral:rRNA from 1 species
UACAGAGGUGCGAGCGUUGUUCGGAAUUAGUACGUGGGCGUAAAGCGCGUCGCAGGCGGCUUCCUAAAGUCUGUCGGUCAAAUGACCGGGGCUCAACCCCGAGCGUGCCGGGGAUACUGGGAGGCUGGAGACAGGUAGAGGCAAGCGGAAUUCGGGUGUAGCGGUGGAAUGCGUAGAGAUCCGGAAGAACACCGGAGGCGAAGGCGGCUGCUGGACCUGGUCUGACGCUGAGGCGCGAA